ACUCGAAAGAGUGGCUAAUACCGCAUACGCCCUACGGGGGAAAGGGGGGGAUCGCAAGACCUCUCACUAUUGGAGCGGCCGAUAUCGGAUUAGCUAGUUGGUGGGGUAAAGGCUCACCAAGGCAACGAUCCGUAGCUGGUUUGAGAGGACGACCAGCCACACUGGGACUGAGACACGGCCCAGACUCCUACGGGAGGCAGCAGUGGGGAAUUUUGGACAAUGGGGGAAACCCUGAUCCAGCCAUCCCGCGUGUAUGAUGAAGGCCUUCGGGUUGUAAAGUACUUUUGGCAGAGAAGAAAAGGUAUCCCCUAAUACGGGAUACUGCUGACGGUAUCUGCAGAAUAAGCACCGGCUAACUACGUGCCAGCAGCCGCGGUAAUACGUAGGGUGCAAGCGUUAAUCGGAAUUACUGGGCGUAAAGCGUGUGUAGGCGGUUCGGAAAGAAAGAUGUGAAAUCCCAGGGCUCAACCUUGGAACUGCAUUUUUAACUGCCGAGCUAGAGUAUGUCAGAGGGGGGUAGAAUUCCACGUGUAGCAGUGAAAUGCGUAGAUAUGUGGAGGAAUACCGAUGGCGAAGGCAGCCCCCCUGGGAUAAUACUUGACGCUCAGACACGAAAGCGUGGGGGAGCAAACAGGAUUAGAUACCCUGGUAGUCCACGCCCUAAACGAUGUCAACUAGCUGUUGGGGCCGUUAGGCCUUAGUAGCGCAGCUAACGCGUGAAGUUGACCGCCUGGGGAGUACGGUCGCAAGAUUAAAACUCAAAGGAAUUGACGGGGACCCGCACAAGCGGUGGAUGAUGUGGAUUAAUUCGAUGCAACGCGAAAAACCUUACCUACCCUUGACAUGUCUGGAAAGCCGAAGAGAUUUGGCCGUGCUCGCAAGAGAACCGGAACACAGGUGCUGCAUGGCUGUCGUCAGCUCGUGUCGUGAGAUGUUGGGUUAAGUCCCGCAACGAGCGCAACCCUUGUCAUUAGUUGCUACGCAAGAGCACUCUAAUGAGACUGCCGGUGACAAACCGGAGGAAGGUGGGGAUGACGUCAAGUCCUCAUGGCCCUUAUGGGUAGGGCUUCACACGUCAUACAAUGGUCGGGACAGAGGGUCGCCAACCCGCGAGGGGGAGCCAAUCUCAGAAACCCGAUCGUAGUCCGGAUCGCAGUCUGCAACUCGACUGCGUGAAGUCGGAAUCGCUAGUAAUCGCGGAUCAGAAUGUCGCGGUGAAUACGUUCCCGGGUCUUGUAC
rnacentral:rRNA from 1 species